rnacentral:rRNA from 1 species
GAAAUAGUGACAAAAAAAUAUCAAUGCUGGGUAUUAUAUACUUAGUAAUUGGAAUGAGUACAAUUUAAAUCCCUUAACAAGUAACAAUUAGAGGGCAAGUCUGGUGCCAGCAGCCGCGGUAAUUCCAGCUCUAAUAGCGUAUAUUAAUAUUGUUGCAGUUAAAAAGCUCGUAGUUGAAAUUUGGGACUUUAUUAUAUUGGUUUAUCUUUUGAUGAACUGUACAAUGGGUUUCUUCCUACUAGAGUUCGAUUCUGUUCUUAAUUGAAUGGAGUAGCUAUCUCUCGGGGUGGUCAAUUGGUUGUUAUAUCUCCACUAAUAAGCAGAGAGGGGUAAAACUCUCAAAGUAAGUUAUGUGGGUCAAGGUAUGAUGAUUAAUUGGAGUUCUAGUUCAUUUACUUUGAGAAAAUUAGAGUGUUUAAAGCAGCCUCUUGGGCGACUGAAUACAUUAGCAUGGGAUAAUAAAAUAGG